rnacentral:rRNA from 1 species
CCCGCCGGACCUGACUGCUAUCGGAUUGAUACUAAGCCAUGCGAGUCAUUGUAGCAAUACAAGGCAUACGGCUCAGUAACGCGUAGUCAACCUAACCUAUGGACGGGAAUAACCUCGGGAAACUGAGAAUAAUGCCCGAUAGAACACUAUACCUGGAAUGGUUUGUGUUCCAAAUGAUUUAUCGCCGUAGGAUGGGACUGCGGCCUAUCAGUUUGUUGGUGAGGUAAUGGCCCACCAAGACUAUUACAGGUACGGGCUCUGAGAGGAGUAGCCCGGAGAUGGGUACUGAGACACGGACCCAGGCCCUAUGGGGCGCAGCAGGCGAGAAAACUUUGCAAUGU